UUGUUUUAAGUGUUACGUUAAUUUUUGCUCAACGCAUAAAAAGAAAUUUUCAAAAUAAGGCAAUGUCUAGUAUUUGGAGAUUCGAGAAGCCGUACCCUAACUUACAAGGCUUUGAUUUUUUCUCGUUGAACCUAAAUGACCGAAUAUCCUUUUAAAAUUCAAAUACAUGAGAUUUAAAUAAAAAAAUAAAAGACAAGCUUAUUCUCGAGGAUUCAAGGUGUCGUGUCCUAACUUACGGGAUAUGACAUUUUAUUAUCUCGAGACAAGAGGGUCUUUAAUAUUCGUUUCGAUUUAUUUAAGAAUUUUUUGUAAUUAAAAUUAAUACUGAUACAAAGAGGGAUCAUAUUUUAAACUCUUGCCAAGUUUUCAACUUUCAAUACUAAGACAUGAAGUAAUCAAUUAGGUACCAAUUUUAGGCGUUACGAGGGUGCUAGUCCUUCCUCGUACGUAACAAACUCCCGAACCCAUUUUUUUGAAUUUUGUAGACCAAAAUCAUUGUUUUAAUAAAUCAAAACUGUUUAUUAAAACGAUCAAAUUACAAGGUGACCCGAACACACCUCAUUAAAAAUGAUUGGUGGCGACUCUCAUUUUUUGUUUUUCAUUUUAAAUAAAAAGUCAACCUUCAAAAAAAUAGUUUCGAUAGCUUGGCGACUCCAUU
rnacentral:lncRNA from 1 species